ACAGCAGUAGCCACGGGAAUACGGAGGGUGCAAGCGUUAAUCGGAAUUACUGGGCGUAAAGCGCACGCAGGCGGUCUGACAAGUCAGAUGUGAAAUCCCCGGGCUUAACCUGGGAACUGCAUUUGAAACUGUUAGGCUGGAGUCUUGUAGAGGGGGGUAGAAUUCCAGGUGUAGCGGUGAAAUGCGUAGAGAUCUGGAGGAAUACCGGUGGCGAAGGCGGCCCCCUGGACAAAGACUGACGCUCAGGUGCGAAAGCGUGGGGAGCAAACAGGAUUAGAUACCCGCGUAGUCCCUGUCUCUUAUAC
rnacentral:rRNA from 1 species